CUGCCUGCUGACCUGAUCUGGUGGCAAGCCUGCAUCCCGUCGGAGUGCCAGGAGGCUCAGCACCACUCCACCACUUCUGGGACAUCUGGGAUGCAGUGUGGUGGUAGCACUGCCUGCAACCAUCACAGUCUGCAGAGAGGCACCAUCUUUUUUUUGGAAGAUCUUGGGUUUGAAAUGUGAUCCCUGAAAUGAGACCAGGAUAGCUGUCAGAUCCUCUUCUCUGAAGAGUUUCAGUGAGGAACAGCUUGAGAUAAGCAGUGUGAACCAAAAGAGAUCCCGAUGGCUGUCAGAUCAGAGUGGCAGUUGGCCAAGAAGACAAAUUGCCUUCCGGCUGCAGGCACUUGCCAUAGUUGUUGUGGUGUGCCUUGGAACGUGAUGCCCUCCACAGGUGGCAGCCUGCAGCAAAAAAUCGGUUGGACCUGCAGAGAUACAGCCCAGUGACAAGGGCUGGCACUUUGGAUUGCAACAUGACCGAAACGAAAAGCGUGAACACUACAAGAAUUUCUGCUCUAUGGAAAAAUGUUAUUUUUGGAUUCUUCAGGAAGGCGUGCAUAUAAAACCACCGGCUCCCUGCUCUCGUUUGCUCCUUCUUGGCCCCGACGUUGAGCACCAUUGAGCAGCCCCAACUCAUGGAAGAAAAGUGGGAUGACCAUCCUGCACUGCAUGGUGACCAACAUACCAGGAGCACAAAUGGCUCGCUGCAAAACCGCUGCAGAUUUUGAUCUCCUGUAACAAACACAGGGCUGGAAACUGCCCUCAAGGCUGGACACUCAGUGUCUGAAUUCCUGCAAAUGGCUCUGGCAGGGCUGCCAGGCUGGGAUCCACAACAGACAGAAGAGCCACAACACAUGGAGAGCCUCGGAUCCAUGAGCAUCACUGGCAAAACGUUCAUACAGAAACGGUUCUUCUGUGCUGCUCUGCAAGGGCUGUUGAUGCUGUCCUGGUCCGUGUCGGGCACGGUGCAUUCCUUGGGGUGAAGCGCAGCCAUUCAUGUCCUCAAACUGCUGGUGGCCUUCAGAUGCAGCCCUCCCACUUGGCAUAAUGCUGGGCAGCUUCACACUGCCACUGUGUUGUGGGGCUGCACCAAGGGAUGCAACUGAAAGAAUCCCUUCUAGUGGGAAAGAGAGGCUCAGUGUUGUGCUCGUUCGAUUUUUCUUUGCAGGAGAAGGAGCGAUGAUGCCAAUUCUGAACUCAAGCAUGGACACUGCAGAGGUUAAUGUACCCCUGGAGGCUGUGGCACAAAACUGUCUGUCAGACAAAACUGUUUUUUGGGGGAAGGAGGUGGAGGACAUAAAAGUACAUUAUAUUCUGUUGACCAUUAAUUGUAUAAAUAAAACUCCACUAAGUAUGUUUUGAUACGCCACUCUGUUUUCUCAUAAAAUACAGGGAUUCCUGAAGCUGUGUAGAAAUUCCAUAGUAAACAAAAAAUCUGGCAAAUUCUAUCCAUCCCAUGGAACAUGGACAGAUAUUCACAACUCUCUGUGGAGUAACAAGAUCGUGUGAGCUGGAUGGGCUGCAGGUCAUUCCAAAAAAGACAGGGACAGCCAAUGGAAAACUGCAACUCCUCUGCUGUGUGCCCAUCCUGGGAAAAGGAGCUUCCAUCUCCUGGGGGCUGGGGACCCCUCUUGCCUUUGUGAGACAGCACAGGUGACAUUUUGUGAAGGCCAGAGGUUUAAUCAUGAUGUUCUGGUCUUUAAAUCCCUCUAGAGAGGAUGAGUUGUUGUAAGUUGUUCUUGUGUAUUCGGGAUGGAGAAAUCAGUGCUUUGUUCAUGGUCAUGCUUUCCAGUAUUGCUGGCUGCUCAGCAACUAGGAGGCAUCAAUAUGUUUUUUGGAGAACUUUUAAAGGCACAUCUGAGUGAUUCUGACAGCGGCUGCGUGCCUGUGGCUAAUGAAAGGUUUUCACAUUCUUUUCCAUAUACUUCAAAAUGCCAAAGGAAAUGUCCCAGUGACUCAAAUUAUAGGUGUUGCUCAGGAGAAAUGGCUGCAUUGUUGUUGAACACUUGGAAUUGGCAGCGGGCUGGAAGAAGAAGGCGCUGGGCACUCGUAGCUGCUUUAGCCACCUCCAGCAGCAGGCCAGUGGGCAGCCCUGAGCUCUGUGAGCUGCAGUCCAUUGGGACCAGCCCUGUCCCAUUGCCACACACUGAUCUGAUUCUGUCUCUCGAAUCUGACUAUUCCCUGCAAAAACAAAAGUGAGUUUUGUUUCAGUCUCAAAGCAUUCAUCCCAUGAAAUUAAGCCAUGGAUGGAUUUGGAGAGGUAUCUUUGCUGAUAUUACUGGACGUUCACAAGAGGAUAAAGAGUAUCUGCAUCCCACAGCUGGAGAUGUUCUGCAGUCCCUCUGCUAUUUAUUUUAUUUCUCUAACAUCUCAACAGUAAAACUGUUGGAACCAGGUUUGCCAAAGAUAUUUCUUUUUCUUCCAACUUAUCAUCUCCUCUCAACCUGUCUAAGGAAAGCAUUCUUGGCAUGGCAGAGGGAGCCCUUUAUCCCACUGCUUUGCCUUUGAAGUUGAGUUCUGCAACACGAUUGGGAUGUGGCCAAGAGAGAAAAAACAAAGUAUGGCGCUGCCAGUUGGCUGCAUGUUCAUUGCACAAAGGUGGUAUUGGAGGAAAAACUUCCAUCUCACAGAAGAAGCAGUGGGAGGACGGUAUUGUUUGUUCUGUUUACAUUACCUGAUGCAACACGGAAGCUGCAUUUGAGAUUGAGGCCCAGGUGUGCUCUAUACAAACUCAGGUUGGCAGCCAGCUCCUGCACUGAUGGAUUUCAUACAAGCAACAAGUCCACAGGCAGCAUUCCGGGCUCCGCACUGCAAGGUGAGAUCUACCGUGAGCGUGUUGGCUUCCUUAGCUGCAUCCCAUAGCAACUCCCUGCUUAUUGUUUCAUCUUAGCAUGCUGAAAGCAUCUUUUAACAGUGAUAUCAUACUUUGUUCAUGUCAUCUUGCAGAGUACAUGGGGUUUGGACCGACUCGCUAAUAUGCAUAAACCUAUAGAAAGCCUUAUCUACGUUGGUUUACUGUGGAUAAAUGAACAUCUGGUACAAAUAGCGAUUGAAGUGAGCAGCUUUGUGCUGAGGUCUGCUGAAAACUGGGAUAUGGAGAAAGGGUUUCGUCCACAUCCCAUGUUAUUAACGUGCUGAAGGCUAACUAAUGAAAGUUUGCAGGCAUUGUGGGCCUUGAAAACCUGUCUGGGAUAAACACUG